GAUGAACGCUGGCGGCGUGCCUAACACAUGCAAGUCGAACGAAGCACCUUACCUGAUUCUUCGGAUGAAAGUUUGGUGACUGAGUGGCGGACGGGUGAGUAACGCGUGGGUAACCUGCCCUGUACAGGGGGAUAACAGCUGGAAACGGCUGCUAAUACCGCAUAAGCGCACGAGGAGACAUCUCCUUGUGUGAAAAACUCGGGUGGUACAGGAUGGGCCCGCGUCUGAUUAGCUGGUUGGCAGGGUAACGGCCUACCAAGGCAACGAUCAGUAGCCGGUCGGAGAGGAUGAACGACCACAAUGGAACUGAGACACGGUCCAAACUCCUACGGAAGGCAGCAGUGGGGAAUAUUGCGCAAUGGGGGAAGCCCUAAUGCAGCAACGCCGCGUGAGUGAAGAAGUAUUUCGGUAUGUAAAGCUCUAACAGCAGGGAAGAUAAUGACGGUACCUGACGAAGAAGCUCCGGCUAAAUACGUG
rnacentral:rRNA from 1 species